UACGUAGGGGGCGAGCGUUGUCCGGAAUGACUGGGCGUAAAGGGCGCGUAGACGGCUUUUUAAGUCUGGAGUGAAAGUCCUGCUUUCAAGGUGGGAAUUGCUUUGGAGACUGGAAGGCUUGAGUGCGGAAGAGGUAAGUGGAAUUCCCAGUGUAGCGGUGAAAUGCGUAGAGAUUGGGAGGAACACCAGUGGCGAAGGCGACUUACUGGGCCGUAACUGACGUUGAUGCGCGAAAGCGUGGGGAGCGAACAGGAUUAGAUACCCUGGUAGUCCACGCGGUAAACGAUGAGUGCUAGGUGUAGCGGGUAUCGACCCCUGCUGUGCCGGAGUUAACACAAUAAGCACUCCGCCUGGGGAGUACGGCCGCAAGGUUGAA
rnacentral:rRNA from 1 species